ensembl:lncRNA
GGCACUGAGAGCACAGUAGAAUUCACAACCCUUAUCUCUGGACCCACAAACCUUCGAGUUGUGAAGACAACCACAACAUCUGCAGUUGUCCAAUGGGAACAAUCGCAAGGACACGUCGACAGGUAUCGCUUAACUGUUGCACCCAAUCAGACGGACGGAACAGCCAAGGGAAGACAAGACCUGACACUGCCCCCUGAGAGGGACUCUGCCCAGAUUGACGGUUUGGACCCGGGACAUUUGUAUGACAUCACACUAGUGGCUGAAAAGGGCGGGAUCAAGAGCAAGCCAGCAACAGUCCAAGUCACUCCUGGAAAAUCCACAAAGACAAUAUCCAGGGUGACCAUGGACACUGUGACCAUGCAGGUAGCACCAGGAGUAGCAAGCCAUGAAGACCCAGCAGGGAAUACAAAGCCUGUGAAGGCCAUCUACUACUCAAAAGCCAAGGGUGAAGAACCAGAGAGUGGAAAGAAUUGGAGUGGACCGGGCUCUGUAACAGUCAAAGGCUCCAAUGGAACCAAAGAGGACCCAUCUGUCACAACCAGUACAAGACCACUUGUCAACACAAAAUACAGGGUUGUACAUAAACCAGGUGAUAGAAUAACCUUGCCCAGGAA